UUACGGCCGUAUCAUGUUGAAACACCGGUUCCGUUACGACUACCGAAGCUAAGCAACGUCGAGCCUGGUCAGGAACUAGAUGGGUGGCCGCUUGGGAAUAUCAGGUGCCGUAAG